AAGGAGAUGGAUUUGGCAGUAGGAUCUGGAAAGUUUGGCGCGGUGGCAAUCUGCGAGAUGUAGGAUCUGGCUAAGUACGGGGCCAGUUUCCCUCCAGUCCUAUAAGGCUCUCUCUCGGAGCUUGGAAGUUUUCAUGCUCCAGGCAGCUUUUGACUGGUUGUGGUGGCAUCAUAAAUGAGUUUCCAUAGUAAGUUGUAUGCGGAAAAAGGAAAUUAAAUUCCGAGAGGGUGUUUUGUUGUGACUGAUGCCAGAAUUUCUCUGAGAAUUUUAUUAAGAUUCAGUCAGUCUAUAAAAGUACUUUUUAGUUCUCUGAAGAUAUUAAUUAAAAAAUGGUUAAAAAAAAAAAAGCCAGAAGUGUCUCCUUUGUGAGCUUUUGAAAUGUAAUCUUCCUAAAUCUUUGGGGGAAAAAAAUGAAGUCUAAAAAAAAACCACAGAGCUGUAUGUUUUAAGAGCAGUUCCUUCAAAGUAAUGUUUUCCUUCUCUUCCUGUCCUUUCUCCUCCUCUCACAUUAUUGUGAUUGUUGAUUUUGUUUUUACGUUUAUGACCUUUUUUUUUUUUUUUGCUUUUUAGGGCCGCACGCGUGGCAUGUGGAGGUUCCCAGCCUAGGGGUCUCAUCAGAGCUGCAGCUGCCCGUCUACACCACAGCCACGCCAGACCUACACUGCAGCUCAUGGCAAAGCUGGAUCCUUAACCCACUGAGCGAGCCAGUGAUCAAACCUGCAACCUCCUGGUUCCUAAUUGGAUUCAUUUCUGCUGCGCCACAACGGGAACUCCAAUUUUUUUUUUUUUUGAUGUUGAAUGUGCCUUCUUUUCUCCUGAGUUUACUCAUCUUCUUUCAUCAAGAAGGGGGAGCACGGUGAGGCAGUGAAGAGCACGGGGUCCGGAGCCAGGCUGGGGACAGCAAGGGUCAUGGUGGUUCUUGGAGAGCCGGGCUCUCCUCUGCUUGGAUUCACCACCCCCUACCCCAGAGGCUCUCGAGGGCAAUUAUUAUUCUGUCACACCGAUGAGGGAACGGGCACAGAAGUGCCUGUGUCCACACAGCCAGUGAGGGGGUGGCCUUGGUGGCAGCUGUGAUCCCUGUGACUCCACCGCAGGGCUAGGCAGAGGUCCUGCUCCCCUGCCAGGGUGGGCUCCGUCCUAUAGGCAGGGGCUUCGUUAAGUGAGAGGGUCAGGACUGUGGUUUUGAAAGGUGGCCUCAUGGGCAGUGUGCAGUAUGACAUGAGCAGCACGGAAAUGGGCAUGAGACAGGGCGGGAGCUUGAACUGAAGACGGCGGCAGUGGUGACAGAGCAAAGGGGACAGGUUGGCAUGGGUGCUGCUCAGUCCUCUGGAUUGGGGCCCAGAGAGGGAGGAGGUGAGUCUGGGAGCGCUUUCCUCUCCUCAGCCUUCCCUACUGCUGGUUUUCAUCCCCGCAGGCUGGGUGGGUAUUGGAGAUACUCACUCUGUGCAGACUGAAAGCAGUCUCUUUAGGAAUCAAGGUCACCUCCUUUGUGCCCUGUGACAGCCAGAGAAAGGUGCCUGAGCAAAACCCCAAAGCGUCUUCCCCGGUCUUUGCCCACCUGCUCUGGCCUUAUCGUUUGCCCCUUUCCUGGAGCAUCUCAGGAUGGAAUUCAGGUUCUCAGACCCCAGUUAGGGAAAUACCGGUUUGAACAUUCAAACUUAAACUGAAAGUAUUGAAAGGAAAAAGCCCCUAAAGAAGGAAGCCUCUCUGGGGUGUAGGGGGUGCCCCACUGUUCCCCAGUGGACCCCCCCAGGGGCUGUGGUCCUCAGUUCUGGCUGUUCCCCAAGGGCUGAGCUGCCUCUAGGCAGGGGCUGGGGUGACUUGUGGUCACCAGGCAUGACGGGCUGGUGGGGGAGGGGGAGGCGGUGGCUGUGGGCGAGUUCUCAGUGGUGGCCUGCCUGGCCAGGAGGUGAGACCACCCUCCCCUGAAGGGUGCAGCUUCCGUGGAGAGCCGGGCUCUACUCAGCAGCACCAGAGUCAGAGCAAGGGGAUGUGGUUGGUCCCUGGUUGCUAGUAUGCACGCAUCCCCAUCAUAGGCUGCGCUCAUGCCAUGUCAGGAAUGUGCUGGUCCCGUGCCCUCUCCCCUGGUCAGUGCCAGAGUCCCUAAUAAACUUUCCCAGGCCUCGGUCUUCCAGACCGCAUAGUGCCCAGAUUCGUCAGAGAGUUUGUUCUUGCUGGGCUCCAGCCAGUUGGUCGGGUCCAGCUCUGCUUGGGCCGUGACCUCCUUGCGAGGAGGCCAAGAGUCACUUUAUCGGCCUGCCCGCUUCCCGCAUCCACAGGCACAGCCAACUCUGCAGUGAGUCGGUGUACAUGACUCUGUUCCCCCACUGUUUGAUGGUCACCCCUUUCCCUCCAAGAUGUGACUUCCUUUCCGUGUCCCAAGGGUGGCCCCCAGCCAGGGACCGUUCAAGUGCCCAUUGAGUUUGGCGCCUAACACGGUGCCCAAUUCAGUGAGAGGGGAGCGUGUUUUGCCUGGGGGUGUUCACUGUCAGCCUCCGUCCUGAACAUCAGGUCCUAAGCAGAGCCCCUCUUUUCCUGCUUUGCUCCAUGUUUAGCUGCAUGUGUGUGUUUAUUUUAAUUAUUACUGGG
rnacentral:lncRNA from 1 species